rnacentral:Y_RNA from 1 species
GGCUGGUCCAAGUGCAGUGGUAUUUACAACUAAUUGAUCAAAAAUCAGUUACAGAUUCCUUUGUUCCUUCUCUACUCACACUGCUUCACUUGACUAGCCUAAA